UACGGGGGGGGCAAGCGUUGUUCGGAAUUACUGGGCGUAAAGGGCGCGUAGGCGGCCUGCUAAGUCGGAUGUGAAAUCCCUCGGCUCAACCGAGGAGCUGCAUCCGAUACUGGCGGGCUUGAAUCCGGGAGAGGGAUGUGGAAUUCCAGGUGUAGCGGUGAAAUGCGUAGAUAUCUGGAGGAACACCCGUGGCUAAGGCGGCUCUCUAGUACGGUACUGACGCUGAGACGCGAAAGCGUGGGGAGCGAACAGG
rnacentral:rRNA from 1 species